rnacentral:rRNA from 1 species
GACGAACGCUGGCGGCGUGCCUAAUACAUGCAAGUAGAACGCUGAAGGAGGAGCUUGCUUCUCUGGAUGAGUUGCGAACGGGUGAGUAACGCGUAGGUAACCUGCCUGGUAGCGGGGGAUAACUAUUGGAAACGAUAGCUAAUACCGCAUAAUAGUAGAUGUUGCAUGACAUUUGCUUAAAAGGUGCAAUUGCAUCACUACCAGAUGGACCUGCGUUGUAUUAGCUAGUUGGUGGGGUAACGGCUCACCAAGGCGACGAUACAUAGCCGACCUGAGAGGGUGAUCGGCCACCCUGGGACUGAGACACGGCCCAGACUCCUACGGGAGGCAGCAGUAGGGAAUCUUCGGCAAUGGACGGAAGUCUGACCGAGCAACGCCGCGUGAGUGAAGAAGGUUUUCGGAUCGUAAAGCUCUGUUGUAAGAGAAGAACGAGUGUGAGAGUGGAAAGUUCACACUGUGGCGGUAUCUUACCAGAAAGGGACGGCUAACUACGUG